CCACACGGUGGAGGUUCAACAAGGGUAUCCUAAUCAACAAGGGUAUUAUGGUUAUAAUAACGUGAAUCAACAAGGCUAUGGUUAUAAUAGUUAUAAUAAUCAUGUGAAUGAACAAGGGUAUGGUUAUAAUGAACAAGGGUAUGGUUAUAAUCAUGUGAAUCAAGGUCAAGGUGGAUAUAUGGUAGAGCCUCAACAACCACCAUUUUAUAUGAAUCCAAAUCAUCCUCCUCCACAAAUGUUUAGUGAUGAAAACCCCAAUGCAUGUUCCUUAAUG
rnacentral:lncRNA from 1 species